rnacentral:rRNA from 1 species
UACGAAGGGGGCUAGCGUUGCUCGGAAUCACUGGGCGUAAAGCGCACGUAGGCGGACUUUUAAGUCGGAGGUGAAAUCCUGGAGCUCAACUCCAGAACUGCCUUCGAUACUGAGAGUCUUCGAGUUCGGGAGAGGUGAGUGGAACUGCGAGUGUAGAGGUGAAAUUCGUAGAUAUUCGCAAGAACACCAGUGGCGAAGGCGGCUCACUGGCCCGAUACUGACGCUGAGGCACGAAAGCGUGGGGAGCAAACAGG